AUACGUAGGGGGCGAGCGUUGUCCGGAAUGAUUGGGCGUAAAGGGCGCGUAGGCGGCGCGGUAAGUCUGGAGUGAAAGUCCUGCUUUCAAGGUGGGAAUUGCUUUGGAUACUGCCGCGCUUGAGUGCAGGAGAGGUUAUCGGAAUUUCCGGUGUAGCGGUGAAAUGCGUAGAGAUCGGGAGGAACACCAGUGGCGAAGGCGGGUAACUGGACUGCAACUGACGCUGAGGCGCGAAAGUGUGGGGAGCAAACAGGAUUAGAUACCCUGGUAGUCCACACUGUAAACGAUGAAUGCUAGGUGUAAGAGGUAUCGACCCCUUUUGUGCCGGAGUCAACACAAUAAGCAUUCCGCCUGGGGAGUACGGCCGCAAGGUUGAAACUCAAAGGAAUUGACGGGG
rnacentral:rRNA from 1 species